AAUCAACGCUGGCGGCGUGCCUCAGACAUGCAAGUCGAACGAUUAAAGCUCUCUUCGGAGAGUGUAUAGAGUGGCGCACGGGUGAGUAACACGUAAGUAAUCUACCUUUGAGUGGGAAGUAACGGUCGGAACGGCUGCUAAUACCGCAUAACGCAGCGGCACCGCAAGGUGACAGUUGUUAAAGGAGCAAUCCGCUUAAAGAGGAGCUUGCGGCAGAUUAGCUUGUUGGUAAGGUAACGGCUUACCAAGGCUACGAUCUGUAUCCGGUCUAAGAGGACGGUCGGACACACUGACACUGAAUAACGGGUCAGACUCCUACGGGAGGCAGCAGUCGGGAAUUUU
rnacentral:rRNA from 1 species